rnacentral:tmRNA from 1 species
GGGGAUGUUCCGGAUUCGACUGGAUGUGCUGAUUGCCGAAUGCACGUCGAGGAUGACUGUUUGCCUCGUAAAACAUCAGUCAAAAAAGUAACUGCGAACGAAGAGUACGCACUCGCCGCUUGACGGCGACGUCCUGUCCCUGACGGGUACUAAGGGAACGGGGCGUCAGCAGUACCCUGGCACAUGAAUUCUGAUUUCCGGUUCAUCUGCGAGAUUUCAGGAAAAAUAGUCGGAACGGAGCCUGUCCAUUGGCUCACCGGGAUGACGAAAAACAAUAAAAAUGGAACAAGCGUGUAGUAUGUCGUCAUGAUGUCAUCACAGGACGCGGGUUCAACUCCCGCCAUCUCCACCA